rnacentral:rRNA from 1 species
ACGCUCGACACCUACUGGAGGCAGCAGUCGGGAAUAUUGCGCAAUGGAGGAAACUCUGACGCAGUGACGCCGCGUGCAGGAAGAAGGUUUUCGGAUUGUAAACUGCUUUAGACAGGGAAGAAAAAGGACAGUACCUGUAGAAUAAGCUCCGGCUAACUACGUGCAGCAGCCGCGGUAAUCUGAGCGGGCUGGCAAGGC